CUAUCUGGAAACACACGUAAAAUUCGAUUAGGCAAGAGAAAACAUGAGGGGUCAGCCGUGGGGGGUUGUCAACUUUCGCCACUGCUCCCUGGUCUGUGAACUCACCAUGCCGGGCGGGAGAGCAAUCAAAAGUUUUGAACCAGCACAUACACACAUCAAGGGAUGCCAGCUGCCCAUCCAGCCAGGGAAGCCGAAUACAGGACAUUGUGUAUGAAAGGAACUUCAGAAUCUAAGAAAUUAAGACUACAUCAACUAACAACUAACUCUUUCCAGUGUUCUUGAGCUUGAAAAAGAGAAAAUAGAGAAUCUAACAUCUAUUCUUUUUUAUUCUGACGUGCUCAACAAUCAGUUGUUCAGCCAAAUUUGCUUCCAAUAAAUAUCUUUGAAUUUGCUUAAUUUCUAUUGUUCUCUAGCCAAAAAUCCAAGAGGAGACACAGAAAACUGAGUCAAGUUGCAGGAGAAUGAUCCCAAAGCAACCUCUUUUCAGUUGACACCACUGAGGGGGGGGUUUUUCUGGAUUUAGAUAGUUCUGGUCCCUGCUGCAUGCAAAAGGCAUGUGGACAGUUCCUUAGAACCAGAUGCACUAAGUCUUAAGACCAGCCUGCUUGACAUGACAAACCUAACUUCAACUUCUGUAUUUCAUUCAUAGUUUUUUGACAAAGCAAUAGUUUACCUUCCUAUACUGCAGAUCAUGAACCAGGUCAAAGACCCCUGUC